UACGGAGGGUGCAAGCGUUAUCCGGAUUCACUGGGUUUAAAGGGUGCGUAGGUGGGAAUGUAAGUCAGUGGUGAAAUCUCCGUGCUUAGCAUGGAAACUGCCAUUGAUACUAUGUUUCUUGAAUUUUCUGGAGGUAAGCGGAAUAUGUCAUGUAGCGGUGAAAUGCUUAGAUAUGACAUAGAACACCAAUUGCGAAGGCAGCUUGCUACAGGGAUAUUGACACUGAGGCGCGAAAGCGUGGGGAGCAAACAGG
rnacentral:rRNA from 1 species